rnacentral:lncRNA from 1 species
AAAAAGUAUAAAAAAAACAAAACUAAAAUUAAAAAAAAAUUGAAAAAAAUGAAUUAAAAAUAUGUAAGAAGGCGUUCAUGUGGAGCAAAGAGAGAGGAGAGUUUCAAAAUUUUAACAGAACCACUCCCUGCCUGACACGUCGCAGGGAGUGAAAAUUUUAAAAAAAGAAAACCAACUUUUCCCUUCCUCUUCUUCAACUUCCACGCCCGUGUAUCAGAAUCAACCUUGUUGUGCUCUUUUUUUGGAAACAACAUUAACAAAACAUUGUUCAUUCUUUUCAACAUUUCUAAGACAACAAUACCAACACAUUAUUCAUUCUUUUCUCAACAUUUUAAAAGCAAAAUCAACAAAGCAAAGUUUGUCUUUUCUCAAUAUUUUAAAAGCAAAAGCAACAACACAAAGUUCAUAUUUGCAAAAUCUUCUUCUACCUUUCUCCGCUUAUUGAGCCGUGGCGAGAAAGGGAUGCGUGGUGGCGGUUUUGUUGAUGAUAGAUUCAUGAUGUUGGUGGUAACAAAUUGGUGGUUGGCGGCUGUAAAAUGUUAAUGGGUCACAUUUGGUUAUUGAGUAAAAAAGGUGAUGAUUUUUGAGAGUGUUUGGAGGAAGUUGUAGGAGGUUAGGCAUUAUUUGUAUGGCAUGUUGGUAUGCGUAAGAGGGUGACGCCAAAUGUAUGUUGUAGGCAUGGGUCUGUUGUUGCGGUUAUUUCACGUUUUCAUGGUGGUAGGCAGAUCUUGGAGGUUUGAAGGAGGUUAUAUGAUGGUUUGUUAGGGGUGAGUUUUGAUUACGGUGAUCGUUCAUGGAUUUGAGUGGAUUGUGUUUGUAGUUAAAAUCGUUGGAGUUAUAAGAUUUGAGAUGAGAAGAUAAAAUUUUGAAGGUGUAACAAGGUUGUUUGAAGUGUGGUGGUGAGUAUUAUGAGGUUAGUAUGUUAAAUGGAAGGAGAAGAUGAUGAAGUGGGUUUCUAAUAUGGUGAAAGAUGCAGGUUCAGUAGAUGGUGGGAUAAAGAUGAGUGUGUGGUUUAUAGUUUCCAAGGGUAGAGAGAAGAGAUUGUGUUGUAACAAAAAGAGAAAAAAAAAUGAAAGAAUUAGUGGUGGAGAGGUUAUAUGAGUUAGGGUAUGAGGGUGAUAUAAGUGUUGGGAAAUG